CCGAUCACCAGGUAGAAAAUUUAUUAGGUACCCAUGUGAGAAGAACAGGUGGGCACCCUUGCAAGAAAAGAAAGGUCAGAGAAAAAUCACUGGGUCAAACUUCUGCAAGAGAUAGAUCAAUGCAUGUGCUCCUGAUGUCCAAGGUUCCAGAAAUGACAUCAAAAUAUUCAAGACCCAAGCUGCGUCUGAUAUGGCCCAUAUUAUGUCAGAGGUUUGCAGGUCUGUCCAUAUGCUGACAACAUCAAGGAUACGUACACACAGAUACACGACGGAUCUCCUGAAAAUGACCCUGAAGAUCUCUUGUUAGCAUUCCCUGGAGUCCAUGGUACAAUAUUUUCUGAUUCUACAGAUGGGGUUGACAUAGCAAUGGAAGAAAAUUCUGAAUUUUCAGACCUGCAAUCCAGAAAUUCUGAGAUCUCAGUUCAUCUGGUUAAUCCAAUUACAGAUUACACUUUGACAGAUUUGGAAAAUAAUUUUCUAAUGACAAAAAUGCCCUCUUGGAAUGUGGGUAGCAUGAAAGCAAAUGAUCAGCACUCCAAAGAAUAACAUGUGGAUCAGUAUGGAAAAAAUGCAUAUAAACCCGGUGCUAAUCAUUCACCCUAGUAGGCACAUGGCUCAAAACAUUGAAGACGGUUGCUUAGACUCCAAGUUACCUUAAGUGCUUCUCAUGUGAAAGAGAAAUGUCCCUCUGAAGGUUCUGGGAUACCCAGCAUGUAAAGGAAUGCCCUCUUCUGCCACCCUCCCCAACUGUCUUUCCCAGAAGUACCAGAUGGCAGCCCACCAAGGAGAUCUGGGUUUGAACUGAGAAGAGUUUCAAGGCCUGGCCAUGCAAUUCACUGUAGAGUGAAGGGCCUCUUCUUACCCAGCAUGCAUCUUGGUCUUGAUGCCCAGGGUCAAGUGGGAGUGCUCCGCCAUCUUGGGCAGUCCACUGGUCCCACUGGUGAAGUAGAUGGCACCUACUUCUUGGCUUUCAGUCUUCACACAGUGAUGAGUGGGGGAUGCCACUUUGACAGACACACAGACUGUCACCUGCUCAUAUCUAGCCUGGAUGCCAGAUGUGACGGUGGUCCAUCUCCCUCCAUUUUCCCAUGUUGGCAUGGACAAGUCAGCCAAUCUGUGCUGGUUUGGAUGUAUUAUGUCCCACAAAAUGUCA